rnacentral:rRNA from 1 species
GAAUCUACCUUCAGGAGGGGGAUGAUUUCUGGUACCGGUAUGGUAAUACCCCGUAAGCUGAGGAGUUAAAUAAAGUUCGCCUAAAGAUGAGCUUGCGUCUGAUUAGUUUGUUGGUAAGGUAAUUGCUUACCAAGCCUAUGAUCAGUAGUUGGUCUGAGAGGAUAUUCAGCCACACUGGGACUGAGACACGGCCCAGACUCAUGCGGGAGGCAGCAGUGAGGAAUUUUCCGCAAUGAGCGAAAGCUUGACGGAGCAAUCCCGCGUGGAGGAUGAAAGCUUAUGGGCCGUAAACUCCUUUUCUCAGAGAAGAAUUUUGACGGUAUUUGAGGAAUAAGCAUCGGCUAACUCCGUGCCAGCAGCCGCGGUAAGACGGGGGAUGCAAGUGUUAUCCGGAAUGAUUGGGCGUAAAGCGUCUGUAGGUAGUUUAUCAAGUCUGUUGUUAAAACUCAGGGCUUAACCCUGAUCCAGCAACAGAAACUAAUAAACUUGAGUACGGUAGGGGCAGAGGGAAUUCUCGGUGUAGUGAUGAAAUACGUAGAUAUCGAGAAGAACACCAACAGCGAAAGCACUCUGCUGGGCCGAAACUGACAUUGAGAGACGAAAGCUAGGGGAGCGAAAGGGAUUAGAUACCCCUGUAGUC